rnacentral:pre_miRNA from 1 species
AAUAGAAUAGCUGGGUCAAAUGGUGGUUACAUUCCCAAUUUUCAAAGAAAACUCCUUACUGCUUUCCAAAGUGGACAUACCAAUUUUUAGUCUCACCAGCAAU